UGGGGAAUAUUGCACAAUGGGCGAAAGCCUGAUGCAGCAACGCCGCGUGAGUGAUGAAGGCCUUCGGGUUGUAAAGCUCUGUCUUUUGGGACGAUAAUGACGGUACCAAAGGAGGAAGCCACGGCUAACUACGUGCCAGCAGCCGCGGUAAUACGUAGGUGGCAAGCGUUGUCCGGAUUUACUGGGCGUAAAGGAUGCGUAGGCGGAUUUUUAAGUGAGAUGUGAAAACCCUAAGCUUAACUUGGGGACUGCAUUUCAUACUGGAAAUCUAGAGUGCGGGAGAGGAGAAUGGAAUUCCUAGUGUAGCGGUGAAAUGCGUAGAGAUUAGGAAGAACACCAGUGGCGAAGGCGAUUCUCUGGACCGUAACUGACGCUGAGGCAUGAAAAGCGUGGGUAGCAAAACAGGAUUAGAUACCCUGGUAGUCCACGCCGUAAACGAUGAGUACUAGGUGUAGGAGGUAUCGACCCCUUCUGUGCCGCAGUUAACACAAUAAGUACUCCGCCUGGGAAGUACGAUCGCAAGAUUAAAAACUU
rnacentral:rRNA from 1 species